CCAAUAGCGUAUAUUAAAGUUGUUGCAGUUAAAAAGCUCGUAGUUGAAUUUCGGGGUUAGUAGGUUGGUCGUGCCACUGGUAUGUACUGGUCUUACUGACUUCUCCUUUCUGAAGAACUGUAAUGCCAUUAAUUUGGUGUUGCAGGGAAUCAGGACUGUUACUUUGAAAAAAUUAGAGUGUUUAAAGCAGGCUAACGCUUGAAUACAUUAGCAUGGAAUAAUGAAAUAGGACGUUCGAUCCUAUUUUGUUGGUUUCUAGGAUUGACGUAAUGAUUAAUAGGGAUAGUUGGGGGCAUUAGUAUUCAAUUGUCAGAGGUGAAAUUCUUGGAUUUAUUGAAGACUAACUACUGCGAAAGCAUUUGCCAAGGAUGUUUUCAUUAAUCAAGAACGAAAGUUAGGGGAUCGAAGACGAUCAGAUACCGUCGUAGUCUUAACCAUAAACUAUGCCGACUAGGGAUCGGAUGAUGUUAAUUUUUUAAUGACUCAUUCGGCGCCUUACG
rnacentral:rRNA from 1 species